UGGACCUAGAUGGGAUUGACUGGACAGCAUCAGCGCAACGAGCUUCAAAUUGGUGGAUGCUGGUUAUGAUGCAAGGCGCCAUUGGUGGAUACGGGAAUACUGGAAGUCUGAAGCAAAUAUUUGACCACGAAAAUGGAAUCAUGAACUCAAAUCCAUAACAGACCAUUCAUUCAUCAAGCUAUUUUUUUCAACUUGAAUUCAGCCUACCACCAAUUCUUGAAUUGACAAGAAUGGACGCUCGAGAUUGAAUUUCAGCGAACCACAUUGGAAAGGAGUGAUUAACGUCACCUCUUCGAAGAAACCUGGUGUAAACUUCACGAUACGCAGAGAAAGUUAUUUGGGAUAUCUGGUUGGAUAUAACGUAGUACUGUGGACAUGGCGGAUGCUGCUGAGUGCGGUGUGAAAGUGAUGUUCCGAUUCAGGCCCUUCAACCAACAGAGACAAAUACAUUCCGAAAUUCAAGGGCGAAGAUACGGUGGUAAUAACGAGUAAGCUCUAUGUGUUUGACCGAGUCCUGCCACCCAACACAGCCCAGGAGCAAGUCUACGAUGUCUGUGCCAAGCAGAUCGUCAAAGAUGGAACAAUCUUUGCCUAUGGCCAGACCUCAUCAGGAAAGAUCCACACCAUGGAGCCUGGUGUUGGCAUACUAGCAUCGUCAGACUUCAUGAAUGGGAACAGCCGGACCGAUGUUAGCAGACCUGCACUGCAAGCCGAGACAUCAGAAACACUUCAAACUAAGUUUGGUAGUUAGUGGAGAUAGCAGGGAUUUUUCUAAACAAAUAAUUUCUGGAAUUUAGUUCCUCAGCACUGAAACUAUACCUCACGUAGCAACAGCACAGGGCAUCUGUAUGUGUCUUCCAUUGAUCCUCCUGGGGCAAGGCACUUAGACGCAGAUUGCUUUCCGGAUAAACAUAGGAACCCGCAAACCAUAGGAAGUAUCAGAGCAUUUAAAAUGUUUCUUUGCAAAAUGACAACAUUCUCACGUGAAAGAAAACCUGGACAGGUUCUUUGUGAGUAUUGACUCUACCAAACUUAGUUUGAAGCGUUUUUGUAGAAGUUUUGUCUUGCAGUGCAGGUUUGCGAACAUCGGUUCGGCUGUUUCCAUUCAUUAAAUAAAGUACAUCAUGGAUUUUUGUGGAUUCUGUCACCAUGGACCUUCAGACACAACUCAACUAGGAGGACCCGGGCCUUAUGAAAGCAAGAGGGUUAAGGCCUUUGUUUGAGGAGAAAUGGACAAGCUAAUUGACUCUCAGAAGAUGGGUAUUUUCCCCGUAUCGGCAGGGACAUCUUUGACCACAUCUACCCCAUGGACGAGAACCUGGAGUUCAACAUCAAGUUUCCUGUGUGUAUCAAGAAUGGUCCAUCACCCAAAAGACAUCAAGCCAACUCCACACAUCAGUGGGAAGCAUUGGAGUCAACAUGGGUCAGCAUCCCUGUGCAAUGAUUCGACACCUGUGAGAGUCCAUUCCCAGACGAUUUGAGUUUUCAAUAUUAGGAAGGUUUUCCUAAUGUUUGGUAUACUCAGUGUAUAUAAACUCAGUAAAAAAAGAAACAUCCCUUUUUCAGGACCCUGUCUUUCAAAGAUAUUUCUUAAAAAUCCAAAUAACU